UGGGGAAUCUUGCGCAAUGGGCGAAAGCCUGACGCAGCCAUGCCGCGUGAAUGAUGAAGGUCUAGGAUUGUAAAAUUCUUUCAGCAGGGACGAUAAUGACGGUACCUGCAGAAGAAGCCCCGGCUAACUUCGUGCCAGCAGCCGCGGUAAUACGAAGGGGCUAGCGUUGCUCGGAAUUACUGGGCGUAAAGGGCGCGUAGGCGGGUCGUUUAGUUAGAGGUGGAAGCCCAGGGCUCAACCCUGGAAUUGCCUUUUAAUACUGGCGGCCUUGAGUAUGGCAGAGGUGUGUGGAACUCCGAGUGUAGAGGUGAAAUUCGUAGAUAUUCGGAAGAACACCAGUGGCGAAGGCGACACACUGGGCCAUUACUGACGCUGAGGCGCGAAAGCGUGGGGAGCAAACAGGAUUAGAUACCCCAGUAGUAGUCCUG
rnacentral:rRNA from 1 species